GAGGCUGCAAGGGAAUACUGCUCUUUGGAUGAAGGUCUUCCUGGGAGAAUGAUCUUGUUAGUUGAGGUUGUUGUGGCCCAUGAUGUGGUUCUCUGAUACCCAUGUUUCAGCGUAAGUCUGUGGAACUCAGUGUGAAUGUAGUGAAGAGGGUGAUUAUCACUGAAUAAUAAAGUGAGCCCCAAACUGAACUUACUUGGGUGCAAUCUGGAGAAGCAUUAUGCCCCAGCCAAGAGUCUUCACAAGUCAGAUUGGAUAUGUGGGCCAAUUUCAUUUAGGUACCUCCAAGUGACAUUGGGUCUUAUGAAUACUCAGACAUAGCACUCAACAACCUUAACUAGAUGGCAUCUUAUACAUUAUUUGAGAUGCACUAGCAGGUAAAUAUUAUAUAUUUGCCCCUAUUUUCAGAUGGGAAACGUGAGCCUCAGAGAGGCAGGAUAACCUGUCUGAUGCCACACAGCAGGUAGUAAUGGAAGAGUGGUUCAAAUUCACAUCUCCCAGACUCCAAUACCUCUUUUAUUUCGCCUGACAGAUCUUACGUCCCAGCCCCUGGGAGACUCGCCUGCCUGCAGGUAAUUUUAUUUAAUCUUGGCAAUCUUCCGGGAUAGGCGUAAGUAAACAAGGAUCAAGCCACUCACAACCUUAAUUAGGCGACACAUAAAUAAUGGAUUGCUGGAUUAGCCGAGAACAUACAGGAGGGAUGUGAGAGCAAUAAAACCAACUUUCCUUAAGUGGUCCCUUACUUGAAGGGGCUCCAUUUUCUCUAGGCAGGUGUCUGUGUCACGUGCCAAGGAGACAUUCCAGAAACUCAUCACUCAUCCAUUUAUUCAUCUGUUUAUCUAUUCACUUCACAGAUUCAUAAGAAACCAUUUUAGAAAUAAGAUAGGAUGCUAAUAUGUUUCUGGAGAAGGCAAAGGUGAAGACAAGAGCUCUCAAAUGGCACAGUGACAAGACGGGCUUUUAUAGUUAAAAAAAAAAAAAAAAAACCUUGAUGAAAGUUGAAGAGGAAUGUGACAGAUUAUCUUUUCUAAGUAUGGCCCCAGCAACAAAAGCUCCACCCAGUUCUACAGGUUCUUUUUGUCCUGUCAUCUUGACCUUUCUACCAACUAGUGGCAGAGUCCAUUGAACCCACACAGACUUUUGUGACCACGUUAGUAAAGAGUAUAUAGCAGAAGUGAUAGAGUGACUUCUAAGGCUGCAUAAAAAUGUCAUGUGCCUCAAUCCCUCAAUGUUCUUGUUCCUAGAAGCUAACCAUGAGCUCUACGAAGUUGAAGCCUGCCUAGGCCAUGUGACUGCGGUCACCAGCUCACCUGAGGUCCAAGUGGACAGCAAACAUCAGCCACUAGCUAUGCCAAUGUGUAUGGCUCCAGGUGAUUCCUGCCCCAGCCAUUGUUUCAUCAAGCUAUCUAACUUUCAGGCCCUUCCUGCUGGGGCCAAGACAUCACUGAGCAGAGAUCGACCACCCCACUAUGCCUUUCUGUGUUCCUAACUCACAGACUCUGAACUUAACAUGGAUGUUUGACGUUGCUAUGUUAGGGGUUCAUUUGUUAUAUAGCAAGGUGACUGUAAUAAGUGGUGUGGGAGAAACUCUGAGUCCCCUGGGACUUUUCCUUCUACUUAAUGACCCCCAAUCAUCAAGCCUUGGUAAAUCUGUACUGAUGCACCCUUA